CAUGUUCACUAGUGCCACGGGUGUCUCCUUGACCCCAAGCGGAUUACACACCACCCCGAGCUGAGGAGCGUCAUCAAUGAGCAGGAUGAAGAUGUGCUGAGCUACGUGAUUGGCUUGGAGGUCAAGGAGCUCAGCUGUGGCCAGGGGCAGUGCAGGAUACGCUUUUGCUUCCGGCAGAACCCCUACUUCCGCAAUGACGAGAUCUGCAAGGAUUACUGUCGGAGCGUGCGUGGAUACAGGGCUGCACGUUCCAGCACCAUCCAGUGGUUCUGUGAUUGUGACGGUGAUCCACCCGGCUACAGCCCGGGCUCCUGCCCACCCAGCUUCUUGGAUUGGCUGACGAACCAUGCUGUCCCGGGCACCAACAGCAUUGCCAAGAUCAUCUGCGAGGACCUGUGGCUCAAUCCCCUGCUGUACUAUCCCAGGGAGGAUGUCAGCUUCACGGGAACCGUGCCAGAAGUGGGGUCUGUGCAGGAGGUGGAGCAAGAUGAGGAGGAGGAGGAGGAGGAAGAAGAAGAAGACAACUGAAAUUCCC